rnacentral:lncRNA from 1 species
CUCUGUUCAAAAGUUCAACCCAAAUGGUCGCCAAGGGAAAAUGGAAAACCACAGAAUUACAAGUUAUAGCCGGAAAUGUAACAGAAAGGGGCGGCGUUAACCGUGCAUGUAAGGUUUGUGGGAUCUAAGAGAACUGAUAGAAGUUGGAUGAGUGUGAGAUAAUUGCAGAGUUCUGAACAGGAGGCAAUUUGAUCACAAAUUUUGAGUCCUGACCACAUUGUUUUAUGUUGCCUUAAAUAUUCUUAUUAGCAGCGUGCAUUACGGAAGAGAUGAAUCCUCUAUGGUUCUCCUUUCAUUUUAACACUUCUUCAUACAACCGGAGGAUGCCUUUCUUAAUUCCUACUCGGAUCAGGCUAAUUUUACUUCUGUCUUAGCUAUAACAGCACAAACAUUUGAUCAAGGUUUCAAGCACAAGAAAGAGUACAAACAUAUAAAUAAAAAAAAAAUGCAUCACAUUAGACACAAUGAUUACUCUUGUCAAGUUUGAGAGCAAGAUAUUACUUCAAUGUCAAUGCAAAUAAGUUUUAAGUAUCAAAGAAAUCAAGAAAAUAAGAACUCAAUAAACAGUUAAUAUGGUAUCUCUAAGCUUUAUUUUCAACAUUUCACCUUAAAAGCUUACCCCAACAACUUUGCCAUAUGUAUUGAAUUGUCACAAAUUGUAAUUUUCUGAGCAAAUUCAUACUUCCAAAGAAUACCGGGGACUAUUGCCAUAACUUUACCUACUAGUCAGCCAAAAUCAAAUCAUAGAGAACAAUUUAUUAACUACAAAAUCCGAUAACAGAAACGGAUAAGGGGUACCAUUCUGCCUCCAUCAAGGAGAAGAGGAGAAUCACAGAGAGAAAAGUAGAGGGCCUUUUUGGUUGAGCAAUCAACAGCAGAAUCUGAUCUUGAAAUGAUAUCUUGAUAAUCAGAUGGUAGAAAUUUCUCCCAAAUAGUAUCAGAAUCAGCAGCAGGCUUGAACCCUUUUGAGACAACUGAUGCUCUGAUCACAUCCACAGGUGAAGUGAGUGAUAGAAUCUCAGACAUGAAGCCUUCUGGCAAUCUGGCAAAAAAAGGGCCUUCCAUCUCAUAGGACAGCAGCUAUUCCACUGUUCUUCUUGCUUAACGUGGAAGUGAUGGCUAGAGGACUCAACAGAGGCAAAUUCUUAUAGAAAAUAGAGUACUAUUGAAAACAAAGGAACAGAGAAUGGAGUCUUAGCAAUUAAGGAGCGUCGCUGUUUUUGAUUCGAAUAAUCUGUAUAUCAGUCCACCAUCGUCAAAAGCACUGGCCAUGUCCUGAGAAAGCGCGGCCUAUGGUGGGAUACAAUAUAGCGCCUUUGACUGGACGUAUAGUUUGAUGCAUUCAGCAAAUCACGCCUUGGAGAAAUACAUUUUUCAAUAAUAGAUAAUCAUUUCAAUUAUUUGAGAGACAUUUUACGUCAUUUAAAACGUACAAUGUACAUUGAUUUUCCUUUUUUUUUUUUCUUUUGAAUUUAAGUAAUGAAUGUUCAAUUGCGCAUUAAGCACUUGUGGAAUCUAUGUUACUUUUUUUUUUUUUCCUUUUUGGAAAAAAGACUGUGUCUAAUUGUAGGGCACAAUAAUUGUGAUUGUUAGUAUUCACAUGUUAAAUUUCUUCUUUUGUAUUUUUGUACCAUUCAAAGCCUGCCCUAAAAAAAAAAACAAAGACAGACCAUGAGGCUUGAGGCUACCGCAAGAAACUAAAGUAAAUAACAGUGUUUUGAAAACCGGACCGGACCAGCCGGUUCGACCUGUUGGGCUGCGAACCGGUCAUGGCUCCGGUCCGGUUCUAUGCUAUAAUUGACCAGGUUAGAAAAUCGGUCAAAAACCAGUUAAACCGUGAAAACCGCCGGACCAGAUUGAACCGGCGGUUUCCGAUUUUUGAGUUUUUUUUUUUUUUUUUUUUUUAACGUUUUGCAAAAUGCAGCUAUCAAGAUUCGAACUCAAGACCUUUGUAAUAAAAGACCAAUAUAGUAACCAUUGCACCAUCACAUCUUAUCAAUUUUUUUUGAUAACUUAUUUAUAUAAAACAAAAACGCAUAUUUCUUUUUGUCAUUUUUUUUACAAAAUCUAAUUCUCUCAUGGCUCUUUCUUUUUAAUCUUCAACACACACACACACACACACUCUCACUCUCUCCUCUUUUUUUUUUUGUCACUCUUUUUUUAAUCAAACCACUUUAUUUUUAAUUUAUUGAUGUUUUCUUCCAUCUUUUAAUUUUAUUUUUGUCCAUUAAAUUGAAAAAGGUUAAAAAAGAAUUAUUUUUCUUUAACCCAAAUUAUUUAAUGCCACAACUACUCACUUUUAUCUCAUUUUUUUAUUUCUUAUCAAGUUUGCAUUUCUAUUUUCGAUUCUCUUGAUUUCUUUCGAACUCCAAAAUUCCUUUUUUAAAUUGCAAUCUCUAAAUCCCAAAACGUAAAUUAAAAUUUAAGUUCACAAAAUCUAAAUUCUCAUAGACAUGAAUUUUGUAUAAUUUUAAAAUAUUAUGAUAUUUUUUGGUUAGAUCUAAGAUUUUUUUGGUAGAUAUAAUUGAAAUUGAAAUGAAAUUUAUUUAUUUUAACUUAUAAUUUAAAAUUUUUAUUUUUAAAAAAUCAAGUUAUUCAAAAAUAGUAAACUUUUCAUCAUAUAAUGUAUUAAAUUAGUCCAUUACAUGUCUUAUUUUGUACAUAAAUAUUUAUAUAAAUUAUUUUUUAAAAAAUUCAUUGAAUCGAGGUUGAACCGGUCCGAUCGGCUGAAUCUCGACCCUUUCACGUCAUCGAUUCAAUUAAGGGUCCGAUUUUUAAAACAUUGGUAAAUAAAGCCCGCAGGCCCGUUUUACCGGCACUCCUAACUCCUAAGAGUUGCCGAUCGGCCGUACCUCUUUUCCUCGAUGAAUAUGUUGAUUCGUAAUUUGUUGUCUCCUCCUCCGUCUUAAACCCUACUGAGAGUGGCAGAAUCCCAAUUGAUUGAAUCAUCCAUGGCUAUGAUUUCCCACUUGCCCCGUGAUUUGCUUGGUGACAUUCUAAAAUUUCUGCCAGUCAAGGCCCGUCUGUCGAUUCAAAUGCGUAUCGAAAUCAUGGCAUUCUGUAAUCCAGAGUCGUGAAUUUGUGAAGUUGCACCUUCAGAUUCACCAGCACAAGUGUGACGGUGAGAAAAUCUUUAUGCCAACUCAAUUUUGCUCUGCUUAUAAUGAUCCUGAUUUUUACAUCUUGGACACAUCGAGUUUAGCUGGUAGUGAAAAUCCCAGAGCUCAAAAAGUUGAAAUUCCCGUAGGAAGGCGUUGUAUUCUUCUAUCUACAAUUGUUUGUGCUUGUAAUGGUUUGCUCUUUAUUGCUUUGGAUAAUGAAAGGGUUUUGUUCGUGUGGAACCCCUCCACGGGAAAAUUGAGAAGGAUUCCAACACUGAAGUCAUCAUCAUCACAUUUUGAUCUGUUAUAUGGGUUUGGAUAUGAUUCACUGCAUGAUGAUUACAAAAUUCUUAGAGUUUGUUACGACAAUGGUACCUAUGAUUGUUGGUUGUUUUCGUUGAAAGAAAAUACCUGGAGAAAAUUAAAUGAUCGGGUUCUGAAUGGUUAUGGGACUUGCAACAUCGAUCAGGUUUUGAAUGAUGCUUACACUGGGGCUGAAAAACGUGCUGUUAUUGUCUGUGUUAAUGAUUCCGCCUACUUUAUCGUGCAAAAAGAAGGAAAGAAGUAUAAAGUUUUGUCUGUCAGUUUGGCUGAAGAAAGAUUUGUUGAGAUGUUGCCUCCUCCUUGUGAGGUUGUGGGAGCUGUCCCAAUCUUGAAGGUUUUGGCAGGACGGCUUAGUCUGCAAUGGAGGACUUCUGCCAACCACGAUUUUGUGGUGUGGACAUUGAUGGAUGAUGGAAAUAGCAGCUAUUGGACUAAGAUUAUAUCUAUUCUGUGUUCGGAAACACUGGUGGGCCUGGAACCAAUUUGCAUGAUGCGAAAUGGACAUUUUGUGGUUAGGACGAAGCCUGAAAGGGAACUUUUCAUAUAUGACAUGAAAAAGAAGGCAUUUCAACAAGUAUUCAAGAAUGAGAAUCCAGAUGUUCAUAUCUGCAGUUUCAAGAAUACUGUGGUAUACACAGAAAGUUUAGUUCAUCCGUGUGAUUAUGGGGACAAGGUUGAGGAGUGGACGUCAGCAAUUGAAGACAUGAAAGAGGUUGGUUUCUUGCUGCCUUAUCAUUUGUUUGAUCAACUGCUUGUUUCAUCUUGUUUGGUGUUUGUUAACUUUUGUUCAGUUUAUCUGAAUCAAAAAGUAAUAAGUUGCAAAUCUUCUUACUCAGUAGUACUGAAUUUUUGUGUUUUAAAGACGGCGCUUAUUGAUUAAGAUAGAAAUCCUACAUGUAGAUCUGAUUACAAGAAUACUGUUUUUUAUCUAACUAUGUAAACUUAGCCAGUUGAACUAGCUCAUAUAUCUAAGGUUAAUGAGUGUAGAAAACUAAUGAGGAAUAAGUUCUUGAUUUUAUAUGUAGAUUCAGCCAAUAGAGGAGAUUGAUUACCACAUAAAAUACUCUAGUAAUGAGAUGUGAAACCUGUAGGCUGUAAUAAUUAAUGUUUGUUUGUCAUAUAUCCUCCAUCAUGAAUAGAUUCCUGAGCCAAGUCAUUCUUUUCAUUCCAUGAAUAAAAUUGGAAAGGAACACAAUCUGCAUUAUUUUGUUCUCUCUAUAUUUAUAUGCCAUUACAGCAAGUAUAUAGUCUCUAUCCUAACCAGUAUUUUUUUUUUCUGAUCUUCCCGUCUCAGUCUUUAAUGUUGCAGACUAAGAGGCAAUUCUCUUCCUGCUGUGGUGAGUGCUGACUGGACACACACACACACACACUUCCUGCUCAUUGCACAACAAACAUCAAGAAGCAAAAUUUCUUUCUAUUUGGGAACAACGGCGGCCAGCAGAACAUUUUCUUUAGGUUUUUUUAUGAUAAAGUGCUUGUGUUCAAGUCCAGAGCUUGAAUACAAAACCUCAUUUUGUCGCACCAAGCAUUCACCCUUUUUUGUGUUGAGAUUCAAAUUAUGUUUCAGCAGAAGUUUAGACAUGUAUAACCUCAUUGUUUAACAAAGUGAAAGCUGUGACUUACAUGAAUAGUUUAGUUUUGCCCAAGCGAUCAUGGAAACAAUUUUGGAAAUAAUAGAUCAGCAAUCAAUUUCAAUCCAGGGGAAGGCUAUGUUCUUGUUUUCUCUCGUGAUUUUCUUGUGGAGUGCCUUUUAGUCUUGUCAACCUCACCACUUACUGACCAGAAAUCCAUGGUGUACUCGAGCCAGAAAGCAGUUGCUACUUGCGUUGUGCUUUAAUUGGCACCUUCUUGUGUUUCAAAAUAUGGUUUACGAUUAAAGAGGACAUCUUGCUUGUUUUACUCCACACACUCUUUAAUUUAAAUGCUCUGCUAGACACCUUCCUGUUCUUCAAGUUCGUACUUUUCAUACUUUAUUGUUUUUUUUUAAUGGCUAUGUGUAUUGACAUUUUGUCAAAUUUAAUCCUUGAUGUUAUGUAAUAUAUAUUGCCAACAAAGCCAUCUUGUUGAAAUACAUUAUUAUUAUUAUUAUCAUAUCCUUUUCAAAUCUUAAUUUUACAUCCAUCCCUGGCCUGGUUCUCCUCCUCUGCCUAUGCCUAGUAGGGUAUUGUACCAGCUUUCUUUCUAACUGCAUGGCCUCUAUCAUCCGUGAUCUGCAUAUAAAGAUUAUCAUUCAUUUUCCUAAAGCUACCCACUCCAGUCUACAUUUAGGAAAUUCAAAUCAAUUUCAACAUCACCAAGCAUCCAAUUGAAGCUUCCUUCAAACAAAAAUCAAGGUAAAGACCUUCGAGUUCUUUCGCCAUCCAAGGGCAAUCUUUACAACACACAUCUUCAGCCAAAGCUUUGUUGAAAACGUCUAAUGGCUUUUAUCUUUCCCAGCCCGCCAAAAAUGGCAGAAAAAAUGUCGUCCCGCAGAAGUUGAGGCGAAAGUCCCAUUGGAAUUCUUCAUUUACAGCUCGGUUAUGAUAUUCAAGCUCAUAAGAUUGGCAAAGGAUGAUUAAGGGAAUGGUGUUAUUAGGCAGACCAUUGGUGACACGAACUUGAUAUCUGGGGGAGAAAAGAUGAGAAAUCACCUGAAUAUAUGGGGGGGCAAAACACAAUGAACUAACUCCUACACGGAAAACUCUUGCUGGAUAUUUUAGAGCCCGAAAACAAAAUAGUAGUUUAGAUACAAUUAUGCCUAAUCAGAUGAUGUAAUUCCAGAUUCCAGCCAAUCAACUUCCUGACUACAGAAUUCCUAUGUACUUGGGAAUUUUAGGCAUAUUUGGGUGAGAAGAGGACAAAAUACUUAGGUUGUGUUUGGAUUGCAUUUUUCAUAGAAACAUUACUGUAGCGAUUUGAUGUAUGUGAGGGAAAAAGGUAAUAGGAAAAUGUGAUUACGAAAAACGACGUAAUUUUUCGACGAAAAACAGCAAUCCAACACAAGACCUUAGGUUUUUAUAUAUACUUAAAAAAAACUCCACACUCAUAUCUACUCAAUAAUCAAUUACACAAAGAUAACAAUAGAUAGCAAGCCAAAUUCCUAAUGCGUGCAUUGAAAUGUCAUCUAUCUAAUCAUAUCAAGGCUUUAAAUUUAGAACUUUAUUAUUUUGAGUCGCCGAAAAAUGACAAAUAUUGGGGAUGGAGGUAUUGAUUAGUAAAGUAAACAUAGGAAAUACAAAGAAAGCAAGACAGAAGGAAAAAGAAAAUUCGUAAUGGUAGCUUCCUAUACCAAUUAGAUAUAUGUGUAUAGUUACAUAUAUGUAUUCUUUAUUGCUCAUCAGAUACUACAUUUUUCAUUCCAUAAAAUAAGUAUACAUUAGUAUUUUGGGAAUUUACAUAUUUUGUCACAUUUUUAAUGUUAUACUUCUUUACACUACGUAAUAGAGUGACACAUGUUCCUUUAUUUUACAUUAAGGAUAGUUGCGGAUCAUGUAAGAAUAGUUGGUGGAUGAUGUCUUCUGGCUAAUAUUACGUCAAAAGGCACCAGCUCAUGUAAUUCUUUUUCACAAGAAAAGUGCAAUGGCUGAGUUUGUUCAUGAGAAACCAGCUCAUGAAAUUCUUUUUCAUAAAUGACCACGUGGAUUCUCAAACCUGCAGAGAUUAUAAAGCCAAAGGCUACCAGGUGUAUAUACACAAGCACAAAUGGAGAGAUUCUGGAAUUCGUCCACGAAAAUAAGGAGUCAUUCUCUUGUUUUACAAUAAGAAGCCAAAGAUCAAUAUUCCAAGAAAUAUUCCAAGUUCAAGAGACAGGUUUGGAAGGACCAAAACCUUUAGAGAAGUUCAAAGAAGCUGCACAACAAGUGUGCAUGACAGCCAAAAUAAUGACUACUAUAGACACCAAGGCUGAUAUAAGGAGUAGGAGGUCAAGCAUAAUUGUUUCUAACAAUCUGCAGGUAUAGAAUCAGUCUUCAACAGUCUUCCAUCCAUGGACACGAGACAUUUCAUGUUUGGAACACAAGAGACAAAGUCUUGGGGAGCGCAGAGCCGCAACACAUUUAAACUGUUCUCAAAGAGCAAUUGAUAUUAGUACCAUGAAACACAUUGUACAAGGGAUGAAACAGCAUAGGAUUCACUGCACUUCAUGUCAUAUAGCAACAGAUAAUCACCUCAGGGCCAUAAAUUAAUAUGAAAUGCAGUUUUUCCUAUUUAAAAAUCCCCAUCAGAAGGUUGAUGAGUACUUUAUGGCUUCUUUAGCUGAGGACAAGCAAGACAAUUCCAAGCUGUUUAUUUACUAGUAUGCCAAACCAAAGCGCUAACCUUAAUCUUGGUUCUCACAAAGAACAAUAAAAAAAAUCCAGAUCUUAUUAGACCUCCCAAUUUGCCCAAAACUAAGAAAGAAAAACUAAUUGAUCAGUGACAAGAUGGCAUGAAAAGUAUAGCAUAUAGCUACAUACUAGGUUGGCAAAAUCUAUCUAGCAACUGAGACACUAGAUUUUAUUUUCUAAACUAAACAGUAGCAAGAGAGACUUUACAUUAAGUGCAAAAUGAGAGCAAAAAAAAUACUAGUUGGAGGAAGGAAUGAGAUAACACUGAGCACUUAGAAGUCCAGAAAUCCCAAAUCGCUUGAUAAAUAAUUCCAAAUUGCUUCACCAACAAGUCCAAAUUUGAAAAUUUGAAUGGACUAACAGGGAAUACUUGAUUUUAUGCAAGACAAAUACUGGAUUUCAUGAAUGGAAUCUAAGCGAUGAGUUUACAGGGAAGCUCUGAAACUAGGAAAUGUUCAAAUUUUUUUUGGGGGGGGGGGGGGGGAGUGGAGGAAACUCAAGAGUCUGGCAUUUGUGUCUUAAGUUGGGUUUGUUUGAUUACAGCAGGUUGAAGUUCUUUUUCUUGCCAGGGCGAGGGCUGCUUUGGCUGGAGUUUGCAGCAACCAGGCAAAGAGCUUUGAGCUUCAACGGGCUUUGUGCCUCUGUUUUCUUGUUCUAGUUUGGACAAAUUUACCUGUUUUCUUGAACUACAAAUUGUUCAAGGCCUAAUAAGCUAGCAGUACUAGAGAAUUACUGGCGUUCUCCUGGUAGAAAGUCCUUUUUUCUACUAUGGACGUCAUAGUAUCAACAAAAGUCACAGUGAUUUGGAGCUAAAUUACACUUUUGCAUCAUGAAUAAACUGUCAAAGAAGAACCACUCGAAUGUAUGCAAUUUUAACAUCGUACAAAAGUGAACAUGAAGCCAGAAGAGAGAUUAGUCCCUAAUUCUUCUGUUGUUGUAUUCCCAUUUUACCUUAAAGUUGGCAAGCGACGAGAUUGAAACCAAUUACAGGGUCCACCUGUUGCUAAAUGUAUACUGAUUUAUCUUCAAUUUGUGAUCAUGGAAGUAGCUUCACUAUCUCAUGCUUUCUUGUAUAGAUACUCCUUUACUUUAUUUCAUGCUUGUACAGAGAAGUUGAUGGUUAGGCAUUCCCCUUAUCUGGUGUAUGUGAUUUUGCUAUCGAUAAAGAUAUAGAGAUUACAUAAAAUAAAUAAGAAGAUAAAUAAACACACAAAAAAUAAUGCAAUUUUGAGCUGCCGACUCUAACAUCAUCAGUUAUCAAAUGUGUUAAAGAAAGAAAAUGCUGCAAGAAUGAAAAUGUGCUAUAUAUAGUCGAGUGCCACAAAUGCAGAAUUAAGCUGUGUAGAUAACAAGAAUUGCAUCAGUUGGAAAAGGAGGACAAACCGUUUUUUUUCUUUUUUAAUCAAGAUGGUAGCUUGAUGGUAUUCAAUUGUCUCAUCUCGGUUUCUUACACCUCCUUCUUUGUUCUAUAGCAUCCUUCUCCUCCUUCUUUGUUCUAUAGCAUCCUUCUCCUCCUUCUUUGUUCUAUAGCAUCCUUCUCCUCCUUAGAGUAAGGCAAAACUAGGCUUUGUGUAUAAGGAAAGGCAUGAUAAACUUCUAUGUUUUGAUCUCGAAAUGGAAUAUCAACAUAUGCAGCAUUAUCUGGGUUGUAGCGUACCGACUUGGUGCCAGUUGACACUAAAACUUCACCGUCCUCUGACCGGCACAAUGGUCUAGAAAUCCCGCCAGGAUUAUUAAUCAGGAUAGCGAACUGCAUUUUCCACGAUUCUGUAACCCCAUAUAUCUCCAUCAUCCAAACAUCUGUAUGACCAUUAUCCACAGAACAAAGUAAACAAAGCUUUUCUUGGUAAACCUCCAAGACUGGCUCAAACAAAGAUUCAGAAUCUUCAUCACAUUUAAUUUCAGGUUUCUUCAUCUGUUCAGGUUUCUCUAUCCGUCCAUACGUCUCUGUUGUUAAAUCAAGGGAAACAAUAUCUCCACCAGCUUCUGCCUCCAGUGACCAAUGCAACUUCCCAUUCACAAAUGUACCAUCUACCCCCAGCGGAGGAUAACCACCUUGAAAAUCCCCUAUACGCUUCCAAAUUCCUUUCUUGGUGCUGUAGACCUUAACCUUAACCUUAACCUUAGGGACUUCGCCAUCCAUGGCCGUAGCAGCGCCUUGGUCAGCCUCGUACGCCACCGCUACUACUUUGUGAUCAUCCUCAAUCUUGUCAUAUCCAAAACCCCAUGAAAAUAUUAAGUACGUCACAACCGGUAAACCUUUAUCUUCCUCUACCCUAAUGCCUAAAUCCGGUACGAUCUUUGAUUUUCGAGUAGAUGGGUUCCACAAAAUUAUUUUAGUUCCGUCAAAGACAAUACAAACUAAUCCAUUACAGCAGCCCACAACUCUGACACCAGUAAAGGGAUUUUUAAAUGGUGGAUAAUUAAUGUCAACAGUUUCAGUAGUUGGUGCACACAAUAACGAGCUAAGAGAACACUGUUUGAGACGGCAUAAGUUAGGAUCCCACCACAAAAUAAGCACCCUUCGGCUGUCUGUUAAGCUAUUGAUCAAUUUUAGAUGGGCUCUGAUGAAUAUCGGGUCGUCAAUUAAUUCCCUCGCUUGCUUUGAAGCGCAACUGAAUUGCACGAGGUAUUUCAAUGGCAGCCCGGAGAGGAUCUUACACUGGACGUCAAAGGGAAGGUCGAAAAGGUUCUCAGGAGGGGAUCGCUUCUCGAAAAGGGAAGGAGGGGAUCGCUUCGGGAAUGCAAGUAUGUUUCCCAUCUGUUUUAAGUGAUUUGCUUUUCGGUUGGAGGAUCUUUUUGCUGCCAAGAAAGGAAGAAAUAGCUGGGCUAGUGUUUCAGAGGAUGCAUAUGACCUGUUGACUUUCCCGGUACCGGCAAAGACUCCGAGCGGGUUGAAGGCCGCCGGGCAAGUCAGUUGGACUACUGAGACUGGGAGUGCCAAAUUCAGUGUCCUUACGACUACUUAUGUCACAUGAUGUCAAGAAAAUUUAAAAUGAACAACACGUGCAAACUUAAAUAAUAUGACAGUUGGUAUAAAUAUAAAAAGGGAUAAUUUCAGAAACCUUCUUGAGAUUUUUAAUAAUUUCAUUUAGCUCCUUUAAAAUUUUAAAAAUUACACAUACCUCCCUUAUCAUUUCAAAUAAUAACACUGUCCUUAAAUAUUUUAAUGAAAUUCCCUUGUUUGUUAUGCUUAUACUAAGUAUACAUGACUUUUAAAAUUAUUUUUUCAUUCUUUUUCCUUCUUAUUCCUUUUUUUUUUUAAAUUUUUUUGCCAUUAAAACUAUAGAGCUACCACUAUUACCUCUAGUUUCUAUUGUAUCCAAAUAUCGAACUAGUGAUUUUUUUGAUGAGUUAACUUAUAUGUAAUUUAAUAUUUUUGCUGAUCUUUGUUUUCUAUUUUUUUGGUAUUAAAAUUAAUAAAAAAAUAAAAAAGAAAUGACCCAAAACUACUACUAAAUUAUGAUAAUUUCACUACUCGAAAAAUUCAUAAAUUCAAAAUAAAUUAUUUCAACAUUUUAUUUUCUAUCUUCUAAAUCUAAAUCCACAAUAAAAUAUCAUCAAAAAGACCUAUCAUAGUGAUAAAUUUAUUAAUAUAAUUAUUUAUUAAAUAAUUGGUAUGGACAUGAAAAAAUUUGGCACAUUUUCCUUAAAAUUAUACUAGAUAAUCUUAUAAUUGUAUAAGGAAAUAAAUUAAAACUCAUUAUACAAAGGUAUUUUUCGGUAUUCAUUCAAAAAUUUGAUCAAGUCAAUAUUAUUUUAAGAUUUUGUUAUUAUAACUAUCCAAUCAAAGGAGAUAGGUGUAAUUUUGUUACUAAAACGUAAGUGUAAUAUUUUUUUUAAAAAUAUGAAAUACGCUUAUAAAAUUUAGAUUUUCGCAGGCUCUAGUAAUUUCUAGAUUGAACAUUGAUAGAUUGAGAGUAAUUUGUAGCUUUUAAUUAUGUAUCCAUUGUCACAUUAAGAGUAAUUAUAGUAAUUCACAGUCAUUUGUAAACGAUCUCUGUCAUUUUCUUGGGAGUUCCUUUUUUGACUUUUUAAAUAACUCCUCACAUUAACCCAUCCCGCAAAGUACCCAAAGUGUGUGUACGUAAUCUAGGCCGGUCUCGGCGUCUGCUCUUACCUUACAGAAACAAUAUACAACUACAAGUACGUAUGUACUACUAAUCAAUGCUAACCAAACAACUACACUUAAAAUAGUUGUGAUCAAUAGUAUCUUAACGCUCUAUUUGGGCCUACAUUCAAAUUCAGACUUUUCAGUAAGUGAUUAAGUCACCCCGCGUCCUCUCUUAACCUCUUUGGAUUCCUCUAAUAUGAGUGUGUUCGAUUGUAAAUUAUUUGAGAUAAUUUUGUGAAAAAAUACUGUAGUACUUUUUGAUAUGAUUUAUGUGGGAUAAAAAGGUGAUUCGAAAAUGUGUUGAUAAUAUAAGCAAAUCAGUGUGUGUAAAUAAGGUAUAAAUAAAGUGAAAUAAUUGACAAUCUAGACACACUCAUAGAGUAAAUCUUUCUUUCACUGACGAUGUAUGAGUAAAUCCUACAUGUAGAUCUGAUUACAAGAAUACUGUUUUUUAUCUAACUAUGUAAACUUAGCCAGUUGAACUAGCUCAUAUAUCUAAGGUUAAUGAGUGUAGAAAACUAAUGAGGAAUAAGUUCUUGAUUUUAUAUGUAGAUUCAGCCAAUAGAGGAGAUUGAUUACCACAUAAAAUACUCUAGUAAUGAGAUGUGAAACCUGUAGGCUGUAAUAAUUAAAGUUUGUUUGUCAUAUAUCCUCCAUCAUGAAUAGAUUCCUGAGCCAAGUCAUUCUUUUCAUUCCAUGAAUAAAAUUGGAAAGGAACACAGUCUGCAUUAUUUUGUUCUCUCUAUAUUUAUAUGCCAUUACAGCAAUUAUAUAGUCUCUAUCCUAACCAGGAUUUUUUUUUUCCUGAUCUUCCCGUCUCAGUCUUUAAUGUUGCAGACUAAGAGGCAAUUUGGUGAGUGCUGACUGGACACACACACACACUUCCUGCUCAUUGCACAACAAACAUCAAGAAGCAAAAUUUCUUUCCAUUUGGGAACAACGGCGGCCAGCAGAACAUUUUCUUAAGGUUUUUUUAUGAUAAAGUGCUUGUGUUCAAUUCCAGCGCUUGAAUACAAAACCUCAUUUUGUCGCACCAAGCAUCCACCCUUUUGUGUUGAGAUUCAAAUUAUAUGUUUAGUUUUGCCCAAGCGAUCAUGGAAACAAUUUUGGAAAUAAUAGAUCAGCAAUCAAUUUCAACCCAGGGGAAGGCUAUGUUCUUGUUUUCUCUCGUGAUUUUCUUGUGGAGUGCUUUUUAGUCUUGCCAACCUCACCACUUACUGACCAGAAAUCCAUGGUGUACUUGCGUUGUGCUUUAAUCGGCCCUUCAACAUGUCAUAAUUUGUGAUCUCGUGAAACCUGAAUGAUGCAUCAUCUGGAUUAUAGGGAAAAAACUGAUCCAGAAAGCAACAAAAUGUUUCGCCCUUCUCUAAUAGGCAGAAUGCUGGUGAUCAAGCAUUCAACACCAGAACCAUUUCAUAGAGGCAGAACAAGUGCUUCAUUCCAUAGUCUUUCAUCCUAUACUCAUUCAUCAACCAUAUGCUGCCUGCACUACUUGCAUUACCGUCCUAAAGCAGACAAAGAAUGCCUCCCAAACUCCUUAUGCUAAACCACAACCACCAUCCUCCUUUCAUAAUUAGGUAGCUUCCCGAAAUCAAUGUACAGAAGGCCAAAUCAAAGCAGCCAAUAAACCUUCCCGUGUGCAACAACAUGCCUGAGCAGUCCAAACGAACCCAGAGCUCUUGUAAACCCCCGUAAGACUUCAUAAUCAUCGCCGGACUCAUCAUAAAUAAAUCGAAAAGUAUACUCCUAAUUAGGCUAAACUGGAAAACCAGACCUGGUCGACUGCUUAAAUUUUCUAAAAUCACGGGUCCCAGAGAGAUAAAUCAUCCCUAUCCUGAAUAUAUACAUCAACUCAAAGCAAAAACACGAGAAAUUUGUUUCAUUGGGUGUCAAUGUCAAUUACAUUGGUGAUUGGUGCAGUUGGUAAAGAUUGAAAAGUACCGUCCUUGAAACAAACAAUUGGUCAGCAAUUGCUAAACAUGAGCUUAAGAUGGCUCUAAUCAUGCUUAUCUAGGGAAAUUUUGAGGAGGAAGGAGAAGGAGAGCGAGGAGGAGGGAGAAGGAGGGAGGUGGCGGUGGCGGUGGCGGCGGCGACGGUGGAGGGAGAUGGGUGGUGGUGGGUAGUAUUUUGAGAUGUUGUGUUGUUUAGAGUUAUGACUAUAGAUUUGAAAGACAAAAUUGGUUUAUCAGAAACAUCGCCGAAGUUUUUUAGGCGCACUCCAAUUUUGAGAGAGACUUUACUUGGGAGUCUUUAGAGCAUUUAAGCGAUGAGUUUACAGGGAAGCUCUGAAACUGGGAAAUGUUCAGAUUUUGGGUGGGAGUGGAGGAAACUCAGAGUCUGGCAUUUGUGCCUUAAGUUGGGUUUGUUUGAUUACAGCAGGUUGAAGUUCUUUCUCUCGCCAUGGUGAGGUCUGCUUUGGCUGGAGUUCGCAGCAACCAGGCAAAGAGCUUUGAGCUUCAACGGGCUUUGUACCUCUGUUUUCUUGUUCUAGUUUGGACAAGUUUACCUGUUUUCUUGAACUACAAAUUGUUCAAGGCCUAAUAAGAUAGCAGUACUAGGGAAUUACUGGCGUUCUCCUGGUACAAAGUUCUUUUUUCUACUAUGGACGUCAUAGUAUCAACAAAAGUUACAGUGAUUUGGAGCUAAAUUACACUUUUGCAUCAUGAAUUAACUGUCAAAGAAUAACCACUCGAAUGUAUGCAAUUUUAACAUCGCACAAAAGUGAACAUGAAGCCAGAAGAGAGAUUAGUCCCCCUAAUUCUUGUGUCGUUGUAUUCCCAUUUUCAAUGACGGAGCCAAGGGGGCUGAGGGGGGCUAAGUUGUGAAAAUUUUAAUUCAUAAUAUGUAAAUAUAUGUAUAAGACAAAGUUGGUCCCCGUAAUGUAAAAAAUGUUACAGUAAUCAUUUCAAAUAAUACUCUAUCCAAAUAAUAUUCCAUUUCAAGAUCAAAACAUAAAAGGUUAUCAUGCCUUUCCUUGUACACAAAGCCUAGUUUCGCCUUACUCUGAGGAGGAGAAGGAGGCCAUGAGACAAAAGAGGGGGCAAAAGAAAGGGAAAAUCGUCCAAAACGUCCUUCACAUUUUGUAAAAUAACUUUUUUCGUCCCUCACUUUUAAAAGUGUAAUUUUAUAUCCCUUACAUAUUCACAUCGGACAAAUUUAGUCCCUAACUAGGUUUCCGAUCAUUUUUUGGCCGGAAUCCAUCAUGUGCAAGGCACAUGAUCAUUUUUGAAGAGUAAAUUAUAUUUUACAUAAUCUCAUCUAUAGUCCUCCACAUUUUAUAAAAUAAAUUUUUUCGUCCCUCACAUUUUAUAAAAUGAUUUUUUUCAUCCCUCACAUUUCACAAAAUGAAUUUCUUCAUCUCUCACAUUUCACAAAAUGAAUUUUUCAUUUCUCACUAAUUAUGUGUGUGAAUACAUUUUUUUAAACACACAUAUAUGUCUAUUUGAUUUUGCUUAAUAAUAAUAGUAUAAACACAUGUAUGUAAUUCGGCUCAACUUGUGGGCUAUUUUCUUUUUUUUUGUAUGAUUAUGACUAAUAUUUACCAAUAGAAUCUUAAUUUGCAUAUUCUUAUUGUAUUUUGACCGAAAAUAGCUUUAUUGGCUAAUUUGACAAUGAAUGCAAGAUUAUUUAUUAGCUAAUACCAGAUGAAAUCAAAUGAUCACGUAUAAUAUAUGGUAUUCGUAUUGUUAAGUGAAAUCAAAUAGACACAUACAUAUAUUUAUACUAUUCGGAUUAUUAAGCAAAAUCAAAUAGACAUAUACUUGUGUUUAAACAAAAUAUAUUCACACACAUUUUUUUUAGGGUUUCCCUCACAUACAUAAUUAGUGAGGGAUGAAAAUAUUCAUUUUUUGAAAUGUGAGAGAUGGAGAAAUUCAUUUUGUGAAAUAUGAGGGAUGAAAAAAUCAUUUUAUAAAAUGUGAGGGAUGAAAAAAUUUGUUUUAUAAAAUGUGGAUGACUAUAGAUCAGAUUAUGUAAAAUAUAAUUUGACAAAUUUACCCUUCAAAAAUGAUCACGUGCAAGGCACGUGAUGGAUUCCGGCCAAAAAAUGAUCGGAAACCUAGUUAGGGACUAAAUUUGACCGAUGUGAAUAUGUAAGGGACAUAAAAUUGCACUUUUAAAAGUAAGGGAUGAAAAAAGUCAUUUUACAAAAUGUGAGGGACGUUUUGGACGAUUUUCCCCAAAAGAAACAGAUAUGAGACGAAUGAAUACCAUCAAGCUACCAUCAAGCUGCUUGGCUAGACAAAAAAGAAUACCAUCAAGCUACCAUCUUGAUAGAAAAAAAAAGGUUUGUCCUCCUUUUCCAACUAAUGCAAUUCUUGUUAUCUACAAAGCAUAAUUCUGCAUUUUGUGACACUCGACUACAUAUAGCACAUUUUCAUUGUUGCAGCAUUUUCUUUCUUUUUAACACAUUUGAUAACUGAUGAUGUUAAGAGUCAGCAGCUCAAAAUUGCAUUAAAAAAAGCGUUUGGAUUACAAGAUUUUUUAAAAAAAAAAUUUAAUUUUGUUUUGCUUGCAUCACACACACAAUUUUCAACCACCUUUGUAUUUUACAUGUAUCACAUCACAAAAAAUCACAAAAAGUGUUACAGGAUUCAUCUCAAAUAAAUAUUUCAAAUAACUUCCCAUAAUUAUUUUUUGUGUGUUUAUUCAUUUUCUUGUUUAUUUUAUGUUAUCUCUGUAUAGGCAAAAUCACAUACACCAGAUAAGGGGAAUGCCUAACCAUCAAAUUCCCUGUACAACCAUGAAAUAAAGUAUCAGCAUCUAUACAAGAAAGCAUGAGAUGGUGAAGCUACUUCCAUGAUCACAAAUUGAAGCUAAAUCAGCAUACAUUUUGCAACAGGUGGACCCUUUAAUUGGUGUCAAUCUCGUUCACUUGCCAACUUUAAGGUAAAAUGGGUAGUGAUGGAGCCAGGAGUUUUUACUUGGGAGGCCAAAAUUUUUUCGAACAAAAUUAUCUUAAUAUGUUAUGUUCAAAAUAAUUUUUAUUUAUUUAAAUAUGUAACAUCUUAAAAUAUCAAACAUUAAUUUUAUGUAUAAAGGUAUGUCUAUUUCAUAAAUAUGUAACAUAGUCAUAACUAAAUUAAGACAAGAAAUAACAUUUGAUUAAAUAUCUUAUAACAUCACAAAUCACCUAAGUUGCACAUUAUGAAAAGACGUUCCAAUAUGUCACUUGCGCAAAAACAAAAAUAUAACGAUGCAAUAUAAAUAUAACUAUUUUCAAUUUAAAAAAGAUAAAAGUUAUGUUAAUAUACCUUGAAAUUUCAUCCUCUUUUAUUAAAAGUAAAUUGAGAUUUACAUUCUUUUAUAGAACUAAAUUCAUGUAUAAUUGAAUCAAUGCUAAAUUUUUGAACAACUUCCUUUUUUUAUGUACAUUGUUAGGCAAUCAUUCAAGAAAUUAUCUUUUAUCUUGUUUUGGAGCUUUGUUUUGAUUAUAUUCAUAAUUGAAAAUGUCCAUUCUAUAGUUGCAGUUGACAUAGGAAGAGUGAGAACAAAUAAUUGUCAACAACAGGAUAGAUCACUCAAUUUCUUGUCUUCACCAAGCCUUCAAGUAAUUAUUUGUAUAUUUGUAUAUGGGUCAACAAGAGUAUAGAUCACUAAUUUUAAAUUUUUUAUCAAUUAGGCUAAGUUGUAUAUUUGUAUAUGGACCAAUAAAAUAAUUAUUUUUGUUUUAGCUCAUUGAUAAUUAUGAAUUGAGUCUUUUAUUAUAAUAUAUCAAAUUGGGUCAAUUUACUAUGGAUUAUCAAAUUAUAUAUUUUAUUUUUUGAAUGUUAAAUAAUUAGCACAAUAAAAAUAAAUAACUUUUUUUGAAGAAAAAAUUAAAUCAAAGAUGGCUGAUUCAUACACACACACACACAUAUAUAUAAACUCUAUCGGAAUAUAAACUAAAAUCGUAAAAAAUUAGAGAAGGCCAACUUUGUCUUAUACAUAUAUUUACAUAUUAUGAAUUAAAAUUUUCAAAACUUAGGGCCAUAGCCUUCCUCAGCCCCCUUGGCUCCGUCAUUGGUACUAGUGGUGUACAUGGAUCCCGAAGGCGUUAAGUUUAAGGUCUAUAGUUCCAAGGAUGGAACCUGGAAGACUAUAGAGUAUUUUCAAGGUGGUUGCCCUCCGGUGGGGUACUGUGGUAAGUUUGUGAAUGGGAAGUUGCAUUGGUCACUGGAAGGAGAUGCUGGUGGAUAUAUUAUUGAUUCUCUUGAUUUAGCAACAGAGAUGUAUGGACGGAUAGAGAAACCUAAAAAUUGGCUGUGAUGAAGAUUCUAAAUCUUUGUUUAAGCCAACCUUGGAUGUUUUCCAAGAACUCCUUUGUUUACUUUAUCUUGCUAAUGAUGGUCGUACAGAUGUUUGGGUUAUCAACACAGGGGUAUCGAGUAGAGAUGGCAACGGGGCGGGGUUGGGGCUGGGGAGAGGCGGGGUUGGGGCGGGGGACCUCUCCCCCGCCCCCCGCCCCGUUGCCUAUUAGUUCCCCCCGUCCCCCGCCUCCCCCCGCCCCCACCCCGCCUUGCCCCGCUUCUCCCGCGGGGUUAAUAUAAUUUUAUUAUAAUUAAAUUUUAAUAAAUAACCAAGUACUAAAAUAUCAACACAUCACCAAAUUAUUAUUCAUUGUAAUUUUACAAUUGAAACUCAUAAAAAUAAUCAAACAGAAGAUAUUUGAAUACUAUCCAAUAUGAUGAAAUAAAUAUAACUAAAAUAAUCAAGUUUUCACUUUUAGUACAAAUGCAAUCACUAAUUCAUUAUUGUGUUUGUACUUUUUUUUGAGAAAAAAGUGUUAUUCUAUUAAGCGUAAUUAGAAAUUUAGUAUAAAUGUAUUAGUAAAUUUAGUACAACUAAUUAAUAAAUUCUAUUAGUAGACAUCUAUAAUUAUUCAUAUAUCAAUUAUAUUACAUAAACUAAUAUACAUUAUAUAAUACAUCUAACUAAUAAUAUCAUUAUUAUAAGUUUAUAACUAAUUAACUUACAUAUUAUAUAUAUUUAUAUACAUAUAUAUAUUUUUUGUUUUGCGGGUGACGGGGCGGGGGUAUACUCCCCCGCCCCGUUUCUAAGCGGGGGGAAAAAAUUCCCCCCCCCCGCCCCGUGAGCCCCCGCGCGGGCACCCGCCCCCAUUGCCAUCCCUAGUAUCGAGUCAUUGCCGGACUAAUCCCCUGGGCUGUACAGAGUCCCGCCCAAGAAUGUACAGCAAUUUCGUGCAGCAAAAUUCGAACUAGUGACUUACGAGAUACUACCGCAUGUGGUCACCAACCGAGCUCCCUGUUGGGGGCUAAAGUUAGUUAGACUACUGGGUGCCAAAUUUCUACUACUUAUGUCACAUGAGGUUUUUAGAAACCUCCCUUGAGGUUUUUAAUAAUUUCCUUUAGCUCCUUUAACAUUUUAAAAAUUACACGUACUUCCCUUGUCAUUUAAAAUAAUAAUACUGCUCUUAAAUAUUUUAAUAAAAUUCCCUUGUUUGUUAUGCUUAUACUAAGUAUAAUGACUUUUAAAAUUAUUUUUUCAUUCUUUUUCCUUCUUAUUAUUUUUUUUAAAAAAAUUUUUUUGCCAAUAAAACAAUAGAGCUAUCACUAUUAUCUCUAGUUUCUAUUAUAUCUAAAUAUCGAACUAGUGAUUUUUUUGAUGAGUUAAAUUAUAUGUAAUCUAAUAUUUUUGCUGAUCUUUGUUUUCUAUUUUUUUUGGUAUUAAAAUUAAUAAUAAUAAAAAAGAAAUGGCCCAAAACUACUACUAAAUUAUGAAAAUUUCACUACUCGAAAAAUUCAUAAACUCUAAAUAAAUUAUUUCAACAUUUUAUUUUCCAUCUUCUAAAUCUAAAUCCGUAAUAAAAUAUCAUCAAAAGUAUCCUACCAUGGUGAUAAAAUUAUUAUUAUUAUUUUUUUAUUAAAUAGUUGGUAUGGACAUGAAAAAUUUGGCACAUUUUCCUUAAAAUUAUACACGAUAAUCUUAUAAUUGUAUAAGAAAAUAAAUUAAAACUGAUUACACAAAGGCACUUUUGGGUAUUCAUUUAAAAAUUUGACCAAGUCAAUAUUAUUUUAAGAUUUUGUUAUUAAAACUAUCAAAUCAAGAGAGAUAGGUGUAAUUUUGUUACUAAAACGUAAGUGUAAUAUUUUUUUUUUUAAAUAUGAAACAAACUUAUAAAAUUUUAGAUUUUUGCAGGCUCUACUAGUUUCUAGAUUGAACAUUGAUAGAUUGAAAGUAAUUUGUAGCUUUUAAUUAUGUAUCCAUAGUCACAUUGAGAGUAAUUCAUAGUCAUUUGUAAACGAUCUCUGUCUUUUUCUUGGGAGUUCUUUUUUAACUUUUUAAAUAACUCCUCACAUUAACCCAUGCCGCAAAGUAUCCAAAGUGUGUGCGCGCAACUAACGUAGGGCGUCUUCUCACACUUGACAGAAACUAUAUAUCAAUACAACCACUUUAGUACCACUAAUCAAUGCUGACCAACCAACGACAAUUAAAAUAGUGGCGAUCAUUAUCAAUAGAGUCUCAACGCUUUAUUUGGACCUGCAUUCAAAAUUCAGACUUUUCAGAAAAGUGAUUAAGUCACCCGAUUCCUCUCUUAACCUCUUUGGAUUCCAACAACACAGUACUACCUCCGUCCCACUUUAAUAGUUCUGUUUCUUUUUUCACACAGUUUAAGAAAAAAUAGUUAAUUUUGUUGAAAAAAUAAAUUUAGAUUGCUAUUUUUCUAAAAUAUCCUCAUAUAAAAUAUGGUACAACUUUAUGGGAACUUGAAUUGAUGGUAACAAAAGAAUCAACUCUCAUUAAAUGGGAUAGAUUUAUAGUAACAACUACUUACAUUGAAUAAGAGUAUUUUAGGAAAAUUAAAAUACAGCUAUAUUCUUCAAUUGAAAAGUGGACUAUAAUUUGGGACAGAUGAAAAAGAAAUACAGGACUAUCAAAAUGGGAGGGAGAGAGUAUUAGAUAAAAGAUAGUUGUAUAAUAGAAUUUAUCGUAUUAAAAAAAAAAAAUCAAUGCUGGCCGUCUUGGGUUUGGACUACUGUUCAUAAAAUGUAGAGGUGUCAAAAUGGGUGACUUGGACGGAUUGGGGUUGGGUAAAAUGGGUAAUGGAUAUAAGUGAGUCAAUUCAUUUAUACCCAUUUAAUUAGAUGGGUAUAAAUGGGUAAGUCAAAAAAUGAAUUGGGUAACCCAAUUACCCAUUUAUAGCUCAUUUAUUUUAAUUUUUUGCAAACUCAUUUAAAUUCAUUUUUGCAAACUAAGUUAUCAAUUUAUACCACUCUUUGUACCCAUCAUUAGUUUUAAAUAUUUAUUUAUAAUGCUCAAUAAACUUAAUUACCAAUUUUUUUUCAUUUAUACUCUAUGUCACAAAAUUACCUAUUAUUUAAUAAUUGAAUAAUAUGAAUAUAAAAAUUUGAAUUAAGUACUAUAAAAAUUAAUAUAAAAACUUAAUCCAAAAAUUUUGAACCCCUAACAUUUUUUUCAUAUAUAAAUUUAAAAUUUUAUUUUAUAAAGAUAAGAAAAUAGGCUAAAAUUUAUCAUAAAUUGGUAAUGUUAAAAAAUGAACAAGUUAACAAACUAAGAAAAAAUAAAAUAAUAAGAUAAAACCAACAAAUAAUAAUAAUAAUAAUAAUAAUAAUAAUAAUGUUAACAUCAUGACAAAAUGAAAAAUUUGAAAAAAAAAAGGGUAGGGGAAAAGAAGAGACUUGGGGGGAAGAGAAUUUUAAAUAUGUUAAUUGGGUUUGAUGGGUUAUCCAAUAAUACCCAUUUAUUAAAUGGGUAUUAUUGGGUAACCCAUUUAUACCUAUAUACAAAAAUUUAAGAUACCCAUACCCAUCUAUUCAUGGAUGGGUAUGGGUAAAUCUAGUUAAGUGGAUUGAUUUGCCACCUCUAAUAAUAAAAUGACUUAAAAGUGGAGGAGAGGGCUGAAAGAAUUGCGGAGGCCGAAAGAGGCUGUGUAAAAAUCGCUUGGUAUCUUUGCAGUAGUCAUAGGGCAUGCAUUUUUGUCCGAUCCAAUUCAUCUGUCCUAGUUUGGCAAAGUUGAGUUGAGCAUAUGCUGGAGAUGUCCACCACCAGUUGCCAGGGAAAGGCAGGGCACAUUGCUAAGUGGUCCAUUCCAUGUGCAAGCCCUUGGUCUAAAAUUGCGGAUUCUAAGUCAGUCGCUAUGGUGCAAAUUCUAAAUCUGCACGGUAGCGACUGACAACUUAUUUUAAUUGUCGGCCGCUAUCGUGCGCAGUCAGCAUGGUAGCGAUUGGAUUGAUGGUUUUAUAAAAAAAAUUUUCAGUCGCUAUUAGUUUUGUGCAUAACCCUUGUCAGACAUACAUUUUAUCGAAUUUUUUUUUUUGGUAUAUUCUGAGAAAUUAGGUCAUUCCAAUUAGGUCGCUCCAACCGAAUUUUGGACAAUGAUGAAAUAAAAGUCUCAUUUGAUAGUUACUUUUAAGAGUUUUUAUAAAAAAAUUUAUUAUUAUACUCGAAGUUAAAAAAAAAAAAAAUUGAGAAAGUACUAUAUCAUAACCAUACCAUCUCCGUCAUAGCUUUUAGUGACUUAUUCAUUAGUCAUUUUUAUAUCGGGGGAGUGGUUAAAUUUCAAUUGCCAUUGGAACUCGUGGGAGAAAGUUUUGUGAUAUUUUCUUUUUAAUCGGAAAUGUACGAGUAAAUUUGUUGUAUCUUCAUAUCACGUAGGAUUGAAUACAUUAAUUAAUGUUUGUUUGGAUAAAAGUUUAUUUGGAUGAUUUAUUUGAGAUAAUUACUGUAGCAUUUGUUGUGAUAUGAUAUAUGUGAGAUAAAAAAGUGAUUGGAAAGAUAAAAAUGUGAUUGAAAUUUAUGAAGCAAAUUAUUUUUUUUCAAUCUAUCUCAAUCCAAACACAAACUAUGUGAAAAAACGUAGUACACCUACAAAACAGUAAAAUAGUCUUGCUGUGUCACACGGGGCGAAAUUCAAUGCCUUCGACAAUAAGGCCCGACUUCCCAUGAAGGCUAAUAAUCUCUAUCAGUCGAGCCUCCACCUGACCAUCAUCUCCUCUAUCAGUAUAAAACUUCCCCAGUUCUAAUUCCAUCCAGCCAUCUGUUCUCAUUUUGGGAAACUUUCCACCAAAUUCUGCUGGAUGAUUCAUACCUUCCCUUGAUACAAGAUGGACAGGUGCAGCUCUUCUUUUGGCCUCACCGUCACUCUCAUGGUUUACAAAUCUGAUUAAACUUGUUGCUUUUUCAAUCCCAUAAUACUCCUCUGCUAUCUUGAACACUAGGAAAGCUGCAUAAGUGGUACCAGUAGACAACAUUUGACUUUCUAUCCUGCCUCUGAUAUCCAGCCAACAAACAGCCUUAAGCUUGGCAACCUCUCUGAAUCUGCGAAUGCAAAAGAUUGGCACAUUAUAAUCACACUAGCAAAGGGGUUUGGGUGUGGGGGUGAUUGGAGAUAUGAUGAGGAAGAACCUUGAGUCAGGACGAGAUAUCCAAUGCCAGUACCAUGGAUCUCUUGCCCAGGCAAUGAUGAGUUCUCUAGCCCCAACCAUAUAACAUUUCUUUCCACUCCUUUUAUCAACUGAAAAGCCCUGUUCAAAAGUUCAAACCAAAUGGUCGCCAAGGGAAAAUGGAAAACCACAGAAUUACAAGUUAUAGCCGGAAAUGUAACAGAAAGGGGCGUUAACCGUGCAUGUAAGGUUUGUGGGAUCUAAGAGAACUGAUAGAAGUUGGAUGAGUGUGAUUAAAUUGCAGAGUUCUGAACAGGAGGCAAUUUGAUCACAAAUUUUGAGUCCGGACCACAUUGUUUUAUGUUGCCUUAAAUAUUCUUAAUAGCAGCGUGCAUUACGGAAGAGACGAAUCCUCUAUGGUUCUCCUUUCAUUUUAACACUUCUUCAUACAACCGGAGGAUGCCUUUCUUAAUUCCUACUUGGAUCAGGCUAAUUUUACUUCUGUCUUAGCUAUAACAGCACAAACAUUUGAUCAAGGUUUCAAGCACAAGAAAGAGUACAAACAUAUAAAUAAAAAAAAAAAUGCAUCACAUUAGACACAAUGAUUACUCUUGUCAAGUUUGAGAGCAAGAUAUUACUUCAAUGUCAAUGCAAAUAAGUUUUAAGUAUCAAAGAAAUCAAGAAAAUAAGAACUCAAUAAACAGUUAAUAUGGUAUCUCUAAGCUUUAUUUUUAACAUUUCACCUUAAAAGCUUACCCCAACAACUUUGCUAUAUGUAUUGAAUUGUCACAAAUUGUAAUUUUCUGAGCAAAUUCAUACUUCCAAAGAAUACCGGGGACUGUUGCCAUAACUUUACCUACUAGUCAGCCAAAAUCAAAUCAUAGAGAACAAUUUAUUAACUACAAAAUCCGAUAACAGAAACGGAUAAG